rnacentral:rRNA from 1 species
UACGUAGGGUGCGAGCGUUAAUCGGAAUUACUGGGCGUAAAGCGUGCGCAGGCGGUUUUGUAAGCCAGAUGUGAAAUCCCCGGGCUUAACCUGGGAAUGGCAUUUGGGACUGCAAGGCUGGAGUGCGGCAGAGGAGACUGGAAUUCCUGGUGUAGCGGUGGAAUGCGCAGAUAUCAGGAGGAACACCGGUGGCGAAGGCGGGAUCCUGGGCCAGUACUGACGCUGAGGCGCGAAAGCGUGGGUAGCAAACGGG